AUUCAUGGGGUUGGAAAACACAUGAAUGAAGAGUCAUUUGUGAGCAACUAGGGUGAGUAAUGGAAAACCAAAAGAGAAGAUCAUUAUGUAAUCAAAGACGGAAGGUUGGUUCUCUUUCGAGGUUAGAUUCUAGAGUUGAGAAACAUUGGGAAACACUUUGGGAGAGUGAAAAUUAUUGAGUGUCUUGUUCAUGAGUAGAGAUUAGGGAAAUGGUAGAAAUUAGGAUUAGGUUUGUUCUUGGAGAGCUUGUUGAAGCUAACUUCUUGUAACUCUUUUGUAUCUCUUUGUAAAGAACUCAUUUAUAGUGGAUUGGAGAGAUCAAUCUCUUCCUCAGAGUAGGUUAUUGUUGGUCCGAACUAGAUAAAUAUUUCUUGGAGUUGUUCUUUGUUUUCUACUCUCUUUAUCUUGUUU
rnacentral:lncRNA from 1 species